UUUAUUCUUCACCUGCACAAACACUAUACAAGCAUGAAAUGCUUCAGUAGAUGAUUCACGCAAUGUUUGCUUACGUUAUAGUGUUCCAAAACACCUACAUUAUUGCAAAUACGCAUGACAGUUUUAACAACAAUUUUAGCAAACUUGAGGCAAAAUUUAGCAGAAAUUUAACAACUUUUUUGUCCGCGUUUAGCAACAUCUGCACAAAAAAUUUGACAACACUGAGUGGGUGUUAAAAAUAUAAAUUGCAGGGUUUAACAUCCAGAAACUGCACAGUGAGUUAUGAGGGACACCGUAGUGGAGGGCUCUGGAUUACUUCUGACCACCUAGGGUUCUUCAAUAUGCACCUGUAAAAAAGAAUGGCAUACCCACGGGCACAUUCCACAACGAAAAUUUAUUAGUAGUUGGCAUGGUCACUGGACUACUCGUCCUCACUAGUACUGCCAUCGUCACUGCCGCUACGGUCCCACAGCACGUCGUCGUCCAGCGAAAUUCCGCAUUUGCAUGCAUAAGUGCGUUUGCAUACAUAAGUCCACGCCGAAAGCACCCAACCACACACAGCCGUCAGGGAGGCUCUCCUGCCGCCAGCGACUCGUACUCACGGCGGAGAAGGUCCUCAAAAUGCGAAGAUCCAGGCUUGUGUCAUGACCACGUCGUGCGUCACUGGCAGGGACCGAUCACACAUAUCAGCGGUGUAGUACGCCGCAAGCUGGGCCUCCAGCUCCGGAAAGCGUCCCGACUCCGGCCCGCGGAAACCUUUCCGCUUGCCGUCACAGGUGAAAAUUUUGCUUCGCUGCAGUUGCCAUUCUCGCACCAUCCAUUAAAAAACAUCAAACUUGCGGCCCGCUGCGCAGUCAUUUGUUUCUUCAGCGCAAAGGAUGGCAGCCCUCUUGAACGCUGCUGUGAACGAGCGCCGAAUCAUAUUGCCGAAUGUUUGGUGGACUCCGAGCACUCAUGACGACUGAGGAAGCACGGAAGUAACACGUGGCCAGCAGUCAAAUCCAACGCAUGAAACUAAAGACAUAGAGAAAGGAAUUCAUUUCUCUGUGCUAAAGAGCUACAGGAAAAAAGAAACACGUGAGCGGUGUCGGCUCUUCCAUGAACUAUCGAUACUCCCCCGCAAGCGCCGCUGUUCUGAGGGUGCCUCCGCAAAUGGAACAGCGGCACUUCCAUGAACUAUCAAUACUCCCCGCAAGCGCCGCUGUUCUGAGGGUGCAGCCGCAAAUGGAACAGCGGCACUUCCAUGAACUAUCGAUACUCCCCGCAAGCGCCGCUGUUCUGAGGGUGCCGCCGCAAAUGGAACAGCGGCACUUCCAUGAACUACCGACACCCCCCAUGAGUGCUGUGUUCGCUGUAAAACUCUCAAAAAUGUUGAAAUACCCUUCCAAAAAAUGCGAACAAACGCGCGGGAUGGCGGAAAGCUACGGCUCGGGCCGUAGACAUUGUUUCCAUUUCGUUUUAUGUCAGCCUGCCAACACCACAUAUCACCACUCCAAAGAUAAUGCUCAUGCCCAUGGCUCUCACAUGCUUUGAGAUAAACUGCCAUUCAAAGGAUGUUCCCAAAAAGACAAGACAGAAAUGGACGACAGCCCUCUAAGCGAAACAAGAAUUGCAGGAUGAGCAACCACACUCGAGAAAGCAGCGGCUGCCAAGCAGGCAACCAAACGCCUGCUUAGCCCCACCAACCAGAGGGUGAAAGAACAAGAACCAAGCAGAACAAGAUGCAGAAGUAAUGCCAAGCAGUAGUUCCCUCCAACCCAGAGCAGUACUGCACAAGUUCCAGGAUCACAUCUUGCACUAAAUAUAACAAAGUCUAGAUACAGCAGUUAAGCAAGGUAUGCGCACAAUUGCGUUAAAAUAAACGCAAGAUGCAG